UCAUUAUUUCAUAUUUUGCGUGAUAAAAUAAUUGUUAAUGAACGCGUAGCGUGUGCUCAUUGAAUUCUAAUAGGGGGUUUCGAUAUCUUUUUUUUCAUCAGACAAUUAUUUUUUCACAUUAUACAAAUAUUCCCUUUGAUAUACACGAUAAUUGAAUUAACUCCAUACUUGAGAUAAGCGUAUUUGUUCGAAGCUGCCAGAUGAAGAAAAAAAAAAUCAUCUAAAAAUAACGCAGUAUACUUGUAAGGUGUAAACAUGCAGAAGCCCAAGGUGUUCAACUACAGUUGUAGUCAAGGCUCUUCUUUUACGCUUGAAAUUCAGAAAAAAUUUAUGCAUAAAGAUACUGCAUCUGCACAUAAUUCCGAUGAGACAUCAUACGAAUUGAAUAAAUUAUUCUUACACCAGACGACCGCGCGGCAUUUUCCGAUAUUAGGGAGUCGACGAUGACGGGGACCAUUUAUUACUUCAUUCAAAUUAUUGAAAUGUCAGCGUUCGUAAAAGCCGGCUCAAAGUUAAUUUCGUCAGGAACCACUGUCCACACGUAUCCGAAUCACUACUCGAUCGACAGCGUUUUUUUUUUUUGUGCGAAAUGGUACCAGACGUGUGAAGAGAAUAAAAUUAAGAUGCGAUACAAAUGAUUUGCAAUGAUAAUCGGGUCACGCAGGCCGAAUAACCUUUUGCGAUUGCGAUCCCUUAUUGCACGAAGAUCGUAAUCUUCUUUAAUUUUCGAAUGGAUGCCCUCGCUGUGAACUUACGGUUGUAACGCAUGAGUUUUUCGUCACGUUAUACGGUCGGGCAGAAGCCACGCAACCCCCGCGACGAUCAUGAAGAUUUACUGACUUCGGAAACACGUGAAAUAUAAACGCUUCGUAGAGGGGCAUCCCUAUAAUGGUCACAACAUCACUGCCUGUUACGCAAAAAAUUGAAAAAAUAAUUCUCAUCGUACAACAAAUGUCCGGUUGUACGAGCAAUACCUGUAUGGCAUCAUGGACAAUAUUUGCACAUACAAGAUCGGCGACGCGUCGACCUUUACAAUUAAAAUAGUACGGACGACGACUUGACUCACGCCUGACGAGGACGAACGGUGCAGAUUCAUCUCACCGAUUACGCAAAUAAACAAGCUAGAGGCAAAUUACCGGGAAUCGAUCGUAAUUGUAAGAAAGUUUUUGUCAAAUCAUGUUGAUUUUUAUUUUCUCCCCUCGUCAUUUUUUUUUUUUUUUUAACAAUAUUUGUUGCGGCGAUGAGUGCGGAACUUCUUGAAGAAUAUGCAACGAUGUUAUCACCGUGUCGUGUAGUUCGGACGCGCGCCCUGGCACAGGUUGUAUACCGUGUAAUACGUUAAUGCGACAGGUUGCAUGUUUUGCUGAAUCGAAGCUUGUUGACCCAGAUCUAAAUUAUUGCGCGAUCCGAAGAGAGCCCUUCAUUGUAAUUUCACGAGUGUAAAUCAUUUCAUGCACGAUUAUGUGUGUAUACGUAUACCUAUAUACCAAUAGGUAUACCGUGCAUGAUCCAUCCUUAUUUAUUUAUUUAAUCUCGAGGCUAACCGUUGACCCAAUGAUCUAGAUCUAGAUUCUAGAUCGGAUUCCUUGUACUAUGAUUGUAGACCCUAAACUGCAACGCUGUGCAAUCGCUGAACGUCAAUAUCGUUGAUUUUGUUUAUAUUUUUGUCGUUUAUUGCUGCGAUCAGAGACAGCUUCCUUGAUCAAUCGUUGAAAUUAUAAACCAUUCGAUUUUCCAAAUAAUCUGUGACCUCGAGGUUUUUUCGUUUUUUCAUCGAGCUAUUCAUUUUGUGUACCUUCUCAUUCACCUUCCAAGAUCAACGUUGUUUAUGAAUUCAUAUUUGCAUUAAACUUGAGAGAAACAUCGCCUCUCAUCCGACUCUUUUUUAUGAAUAGGUGUGCAAUAAUAAUAAUAAUAAUUAAUAUCGUUAUCGUUACUAUAAAAUUAUUAUUAUUCAGUUUUAUUUUUGUGAGAAGCGAGGUGCUGCGUUACUCGCGUAAGCAAAAUUUUUCCGCUGUAACUUGCGUGGACGACAAAUUAUUUUGUUUUUAUACUUCUACUUUUCGGUUGAACGUUUACGAUCAUCAUUAUUAUGUUUAAUCUCCGGUAAUUUAGGACUACUUGUUUCAAUUCGCUCACCACCGGACUGUGGGGAUCGUUAUAACAAAAUAAACAUAGGUGUACUUUAUACAUGUAUAAUAUGUAUACGUAUACGUAUUGUAAGUUUGAUUACUUAAUAGCUCUCGUUAAUGAGAACCAUUAAGUAUAUCUAUAUUUCACAGAUUAAUUGACCCCACAUUCAUAGAUUAUUGUACCCAAUUUAUACCUAAUUCACAUAAAACCGAUCCUCCCCUAUUCACGAACAACGUUUAUUUCAUUCCGAGAAGAGAACGAAGCUUUGAAAUUUGUUGAAGCUAUAAUUUUACAGUGGGACAAAAGUUAUGUGGCCCCGCGAUUUUCAUCGCAUUGAUCAAAUGAUUCCCCGACUGAUUUUGGGGUGCAUCGCGCUGAUCGUCUGCGUUCGCACGACGGAGGGUAGCGUCCUAGUCGCCGAUAACACGAUGUCUCGAAUGGUCGAGGUGAACGCAGGUGCUCCAUUUUGCGCCCUAUACAGCGACAGAGGUGUAAUACAGAGAAUGGUUCUGGGGGCUGAUCCGCGAAAGGUGCGUCAGAUGUCCGCAAACCUUGUCGCUGACCUCGAGGAAACGUGCAGGGAGUCAAGAAAUCGUGGAAAGAAUCAGGCACCGGGAGGGCUGAUUUAUCCCGGAACCAAGUGGUGCGGCCCGGGCAACAUCUCGGCGACUUACGAUGACCUCGGUCAUCAUGCGUCGGAGGACGCCUGUUGUCGAGAACACGACAAUUGCGCGGUGACUAUCGGUCCCGGGCAAUGUAUGGAUGGAAUUUGUAAUCAUUCGCCUAUAACGAGAUCGCAUUGCGAUUGCGACGCCAAAUUUCGAAGAUGUCUUCAGGGCCUGAACACCGAAGUUGCGAAUACACUCGGUGCUUUAUUUUUCAAUGUUGUACAGGUCACGUGCUUCAAAGAGAGACGACCCUGUUCUCAGUGGCAACGCUGCUACGAAUUUGAUCGGCCAGAGAUGUACCGGGGAAAAAAAGAACCCGGCCGAAGAUUCGGGAUGCGAUUGAAUCAACCGCGGUUUCAGUCAACCAUUGAAAAAAUUUUUUUGGCAAAAAUUCGGCUCUUGAUAGAAACGUGUUCGAAAAUCUUGUCGUUUCUGAAAUUUUAAAUCUCGUCUGAUUGAAAUGAAAUCUUUAUUUCGAAUAUUCGACCCUCCCGUACACGCCACCGAGGUCCUCAAAUUUUAUUCGACCAACGAAGCAACUCAAAAUGGAUUUCCCUCAACGGCUACGCGGAGGCAGAAUCGAACCGGAUUUGUUCACAGUACAAGUUUCGUCCGAGUGACAAAUACGUGCCGUUGAUGCCAAUAAGUAUAAAUAAAUGAAUUCGUAAGCAGCAAGGUGUAAACCCGCAAGAUUAACGAGGGGGAACAAUAAUAUCGCUCGAUUACAAACGGGUGAAAUUGUUCCGCAUCGUCAUCAUAAUAUAGAUAAGAUAAUAACGUCUUUCUUUAUUACGAUAUAUCUGCGGGAAAUGGAUAAUAUAUUCAACGAUUAUAACAUUUUAGCUUGACGAUCGAUGCGAUGUUUCAUACCAAUACCUAUGUCGAUAUCGUCGUCGCCGUCGAGGUUUUCACUGAGCAAUUCUAAUUUUUGUUAACUACUAAAAACAGAAAUUUAGUCUUUUUUGUUGCUGGUGGAGCGACGACUUAGAACAGCGCUAAGGUUGUAACGUUGAAAUAUAUAAGCAAUUGGACGUAAAAAAAAAAUGUGUUGAAAACUGAACAAAGUAUCAACAUAAUUCAAAAUUUACACCGAUAAUGCGUAAGUCUUACCGUAUGAAUGUAAAUCCUUAAUAUUGUGCGUGUAUGUAUAUAGAAAAUAUAUAUUAUUAUUAUUUAUAUGAUAAAACGAUGUGAUACAAACUGCGAUAACCAAAAACUAAUUAAAAGUUCAUGCCUAUAAAUCAGGUAUAUUUAUCUGAACAAUUUUAUAUACAUAAAUAUAUUCAAAUAUAUGUAUGCAUACGUUUACAUAUAUGUACAUAUGUUGCACGUUUGAACGUUAGAUUUUAGACGGGAUGAUUUUCUCUUUCUUUGUAUAGUAUCAACUAAUUAGUUAUUAUUUGUUGAUUACGUAAUGAUUGUUAAACUGCCUACGGUAACAAUGUUAAAAUCAUCAAAUAGUCAACUAUCUGCAUUUGUUACGUGAUGUGAUUUAACAUCACGCGGGUUGUAGUAAUUAAUUGUAAGGGACGAUGAUGUAUCGUACGAUAUGAUAUCGCCGCUUAAAUAUAUUCAAAUAAUCAAAAAUUAAUACUAAUUGUAUAGAUAAUCAAAAGUUAAUUCUACAAAUACGGUAACGCAUGGUACCGGAUAUUGACAAUUUCAAUGGUGUGUAAUAUAAUUAUUAUUGUAGUUAUACAUGCGACGGGUACAAAAUUGUAAGUUAAAAAUUAAUCGAAUAAAUAUUAUAUACUGUA